GCGGGUCGACGGAGCGAGCCGAUGUUUACGUGAAGAUCAAGUUCUCAUACUCCGGGGUUACCAGAGACGUCGACCGCGCUCGUCCGAGGUUCGCAGCAGUCCCCCCCCCCCACAAGAGAUUGAUGCCGUACGUGCAGUUCGGCAGGAACACAUCUCGUGCCCAUAAUUACGGUCAUAGUAGCACCAGUAGACCACACCACACAUAUCGCUUUGAAGUAAAACCGGUAAAACCGUUAAACCGGCCGGCCAAGACAAUCCAUCUUUUCAAAGGCGUCGCAGACUCGCAGUUUCAUCUGGACGUGUCGUUUGGACGUGUUGACGGAUUUAAAGGAAAGGCUACAAGCGCGAGCUCCUUGCUCAAUGGCACACCUCGGCGGCACAAGCUCUCGUGCACCAAGGGCAGCUGCCAACGCUAUGAGCUCACACUUCUAGCCUUCGCUGCGGUACAACAUGAGGUGAAACGGGGUAUAGUGCCUUCACUCGAACUCUUUGUUCUUCAAAACAUUCCCACAGGUAGUCUUGGGUGUAGCCUUUUCGUUGUGCCCACCUGUGCUGCCUGUUGAUCUCUUGUCUUCCCAAUUGCCUCCUUUACCUCCUGUCGAACCAGGGCCUUCGGUUUUAUUGUUUCCCUUUCCUGGUUUUUUCCACUUGUUCUUUGGCUGUUUGGGUAAUUAGGCUCAUUAGUUCUUCAUAUGUGUUGUCUUUUGUAAUUUUUUUCUCCAAUUUUGAUGCAAAUUUUUCUAUUUUAUGUUCUGCUUCUAGCUUCCAGUUGUUUUCCUGGAUGUUUUUAUUUUUUUCUGUCUUUGGUUGUUGGUGUUUAGUUUUAGCAGUAUUCUGUUAUAAUUGCUUGCACAGCUGCUUACCUUGCUCUCCUCUAUGUGUAUAGCAUCUAGAUGUUUUCUUUGCCUGCCUCGUCGUUUAUGAGUUCAGCGUUCCUUAAACUGCAGUUAACGCGUGAACAACAUAGUCUGGGCCCGUUUGCUCAAAGCGCUAACAGCGGCUAAAGUUUGCCGCAGUACCUAGGAGAGGGAUUAUUAUAUCACGUGACUGGCUCGGUAAAGAUGCGGGGAAACAUGGCGGUGCCCCGGUGAGUGAGUGCCGCUCGCUUUGGAACUAAUGUGUCGUUGUAGCUUUAAUAUCGGGCGCGUUAGUCAGCAACAAAUGGUGCGGGAGGCUUUCACUUUGCCUUACCUUACUUAAAUCGCAAAGCAUGAGCAAUGACCUCGCCGCAUUUUCUUAUAGUCUUUUGAUUCUGGCCAUUACUAAGCCUAAAUGAACGCAAUAAUUGUCGGCAUGGCAACGUCUUUGGAGAGCGGAUUGCCUUGACUGAAUCGGCCGGGUAUUGAUAGCACACAAAAGCAGACAGCGUCCCAUUAGACCUUUUUCUAAACUACCCAAGCAUCGAGAACAACGCUGGAAGUGUAAUUCUACGGUCCGCGCGCGCUGGCCUUUCUCUUAUAAAAGAUUCAAAGUAAAUAAACAUAAUAAGGCUUUGACGAACGUGCGUGCAAGGCAAAAUUUGUUUUAGACUUUUUGCUUUUGAACAAUUACUACUGCAGACGCCAGCACGUGCAAUGCCUGUAACUGCACUCGGUGCUUGGGAAAUUUAGAAAAAGGUCUAUUGGGACGCUGUACAAGCUUGCUCAGCGUCUUUGCGGAGCAGAGCCGCUGAGCUGCUUCGCCUAACUACACUUAGCCGCCUAACUCCACAAACAAUUUUGUUCUUAAUGUCCCUCAAGUCGGGUAAGCAAAUGGCAAAAUUAAAAGUGUCCUAAUGUCACUCUUAUUUAUUUUGCUUGGGGUACAUGUGAACGAAUAAAAAAAAAUACACCCGUUAUGUGGCACACUUACCUUUGGUAAUGGAGCAUUUCGCAUCAUUGGUGAUUUCCUUCUCUUGCGAUUAGAACGUGCAAACACUGUUGAAAUGGCAGUCUUCUGCUUCAGCUUCAUCCAGCCAUCUGCGCGAUUUUGCUCAAACUGGGAUUCUUGAAAGUGCCUAGAAAAAUAUAAUUUAUUUUACCUUAUAAUGCCCUAUAAUUAAUGUUUACAUGCUUAGUUGCUUUAUGUACAUUAAAUCCAGGACACUUAUAACUUUCAAUUUACUUAGCAGUCACUAGUUUAAACAGGGCUGUCAUAACCAGGGCCCCUUAGAUGUUGCAGAUAGUGAACAUGAGAAAUGCACAUAAUUAAAAUUAACUUUGCCGUUUUGUUUCAUUUAAAUUUCAUGUGCUCGUAUAUCUUUAUGCAACAAACAAAGAUCCUAGCUUUAGUGAUCGCACCAUGCUUAUCUUGAUUGCAACGAACUAAUUAUGUCUCACUUUUCUUGAGUUGAGCCAAAGUUUGAACUGCAUAUAUGACCAGAUCAAUGCUAUUGACAGUAAUUUAUAAAUUCAUACCGUCUGUGAUCGUAGCUGUAGAUGCGAUCACGCAAGGCACAAGUGAUCAUUUCCAUAGUGGAAAGUUUUUGGAAUAAAUGAAAAGAUUCUUACCUCAGAAAGUCGGGAACCAGCUGUUGGCGUCCACGUGUCGCGCUUUAUUUUUAUUAGCCAGAGUUUCCCUCAUUUUUUUCUUUCGGAAUAAUAAACAACUGAAAGCCGUCAUGGCUGCUGUUAGAGCACCCGAUGGCGCAGCAACAAAUCAUUUUUGUCUUUGAAAAUAAAAGCUCAGAAAAUCAAGGAGCUGGUAAACCUCCAGAGUAGCCUAUGCACGCGUACGGGGAAUAAGAACAAAAAUGGUGGUCAGGAGCGUGUCAUGUGCAGCGGGUUCAUCGUUGCCACGUGGUUGCUAGGGCCAACGUCAAUGCCGUUGGGAGGAGUCAAGGGUCCGCAUGGGUUCACCGAGGACAAUGGAUGGCCAAACUCUCCCCUAUCUAUGGCUCUGACCCUUGGCAGGUGGAGGCACCAUCUGUGAGAUGCUGUCACAAACAGCGGCAUUCUGUCUGCUGCUUCUCAGGGACGGCGUCUUAUAGUCAAAAACAGUUUUCCACCUCUAACUUUUUAUUCUGGUAAUGAUAUGCGUUAAAACUUGAGCAUCUCGCUUGAAUGGCUGCGGCUAUGUUCUAACGGAGUUUGAGCUUUCUCCAAAGUCUAGUUUAUUUUUGCGGUACAAAAACCAGGGUUCGAUUUUUUUCAUAGACGUUCUGUACAAUAAGCUAUUGCACCCUCCUCCUUGCUAAAAGUUCUAGUUAAGGUUGUUUUACUUAUUAUAUGGUGUGUCUCUCUUCAUGACAUAAACUAAAGUGAAGUCUGAAUUUUGUAAUAGGUGCCACCCUGACCAGGCUGAAGCUGACAUGAUUAGCAAGCAUCGUAGCGUGAGUUGAGUGAAAUGACAGCAUAUAUUGACUACUGUGUGGAUGUCCGUGCUUCGUGGCAGUCAUACGAUAACAGUUGUCUUGACGUCACUUGUGUUGAUGGAAGGUUGCCCUAUUAUGUCAUUACGAACUAUUAUUUAUUUUUAUUCAUUUGGGGAGCUCGUGGGCCAUUACAGGGAGUAACUUUGUACAGCAUCCUUGUCUAAGGGCUAUACCAUAUUAAUUUGCUGUUGUGUUUCCUGUUGGAGGAUAAUGACUUAUUUGCAUUGCAUUCCAAAUCUCACUUUUUAAUUACUUCAAUAUUACUUAGUAGCUGGCAUUUGAUGUCAGCUUCUGCCACAUCAACCCAUGACCUUUGAUUGUGUGCCAAACACACCACUAAAUAAAAAUGGCUUCAUUAUUACGUUUCGUUCCUCCAUUGCAUAGGAUAUGGGAAUCCCAGCAAUUACAUUUUCCAACUGUAUUUUGUAAUACUCACAAUUUCAAAUUAUGUUAACAAUUUUAUAAACCUCCGAGUCACUCGUUAACUGAUCAAUUAUUUAAAUAAAUGUCAACUGUUAACCGGUUGCAAGUUUGUAAUUAAUGCACAGCCCCACACUGCAUUACUGUUUGUGUAUAAUAUAAGGAAAUGUUGAGUAAACAUACAGGUUAUUUAAAUAACUUUUAUGUCUGACCCAUUAUAUUCAGUGUUUUCUAGAUAAGUUUGAAGUUAUAUAAGAGAGUGCUCAUCUUAAAAUUAGGCCAUACCACUGGAUGUACACUAGUGUGUGACCUAUACAUAUGUUCCCAGCGAAAUGAAAGAAGUCAUUUAAGAAGGACUAACCACUUGCUUUGCUGUUUGUCUUGUCUUCUUUUAGGUUUAGUUUUAGGACUGGUUUUCCUGACUCAGCUGGCUUGUCUGGCAGCUUGCAACCUAUGGGAACCUGAGGAACUGCAUCACAAGAGUGAAAGGGACGCCCACCUAGCACUUCUUCGAGGAUGGUGCCUUGAAGAAGGGAGGACUGCGCCUAAAGUGAAUGCCAUGGCAGGCAAUGUGCUGAGGCUUGGGCCAUGUGGAACUGGAGGCAGCCAAGUCAUCAAAGAAGAUAGGACUUCGGCUCAUUCAGAAACCAUGUGAACUACGGCACAAGAGGCCCAGGGCACCGGAACAGCUGGCUGAAUAAACAGCUAAGCCUUUCAAACAUUGAAGUGUGUGCUAUCCCAAGGGGAGUAGUUUGAAGGGGAUUAGAGUUUUAGACCUCAAGGCAAAUAAAUGUAUUUUUUCCUUCCAAA